AUGGGUCUUAGACUCCUUCACCGUGUAAUCUUCUGUCUUCUUGGAGCAGCUUGUGUGGAUGCGAUGGUCAUGCAGAACCCAAGAUACAAGGUUGCCAGGGUUGGAAAACCAGUGAAUCUGAGCUGCUUUCAGAAUCUGAAUCAUGAUGCCAUGUACUGGUACCAACAGAAACCAAACCAAGCACCAAAGCUUCUGCUCUACUACUAUGAUACGACACUGAACAGGGAGGCGGACACUUCUGAAAACUUCCAAUCCAACCAGCCCAACACUUCUUUCUGCUCUCUUGGCAUCCGCUCUGCAGACCUAGGGGAUUCUUCCAUGUACCUCUGUGCUAGCAGCAGAGACACAGGGCUACAACAUCACCAAGCCUCUGUGCAUAAACCUUUCUCUUUCCCAGACCCAAGCCUUUCAUUUAGAACAACCCCUCCCUUCUUACAACAGUAG